UUUGAUGGCGACCGGCGCACGGGUGAGUAGCACGUAUCCAACCUGCCGAUGACUCGGGGAUAGCCUUUCGAAAGAAAGAUUAAUACCCGAUGGCAUAGUUCUUCCGCAUGGUGGAACUAUUAAAGAAUUUCGGUCAUCGAUGGGGAUGCGUUCCAUUAGGUUGUUGGCGGGGUAACGGCCCACCAAGCCUUCGAUGGAUAGGGGUUCUGAGAGGAAGGUCCCCCACAUUGGAACUGAGACACGGUCCAAACUCCUACGGGAGGCAGCAUG
rnacentral:rRNA from 1 species